UGUCCUAACAUGAACUACAUUUUCAGUA
rnacentral:piRNA from 1 species